GAUGAACGCUGGCGGCGUGCCUAAUACAUGCAAGUCGAGCGAACGGACGAGAAGCUUGCUUCUCUGAUGUUAGCGGCGGACGGGUGAGUAACACGUGGAUAACCUACCUAUAAGACUGGGAUAACUUCGGGAAACCGGAGCUAAUACCGGAUAAUAUUUUGAACCGCAUGGUUCAAAAGUGAAAGACGGUCUUGCUGUCACUUAUAGAUGGAUCCGCGCUGCAUUAGCUAGUUGGUAAGGUAACGGCUUACCAAGGCAACGAUGCAUAGCCGACCUGAGAGGGUGAUCGGCCACACUGGAACUGAGACACGGUUCAGACUCCUACGGGAGGCAGCAGUAGGGAAUCUUCCGCAAUGGGCGAAAGCCUGACGGAGCAACGCCGCGUGAUUGAUGAAGGUCUUCGGAUCGUAAAACUCUGUUAUUAGGGAAGAACAUAUGUGUAAGUAACUGUGCACAUCUUGACGGUACCUAAUCAGAAAGCCACGGCUAACUACGUG
rnacentral:rRNA from 1 species